rnacentral:rRNA from 1 species
UACGUAGGCAGCGAGCGUUGUUCGGAGUUACUGGGCGUAAAGGGUGUGUAGGCGGUUCUCUAAGUUUGGUGUGAAAUCUCCCGGCUCAACCGGGAGGGUGCGCCGAAUACUGAGGGACUAGAGUGUGGGAGAGGAAAGUGGAAUUCCUGGUGUAGCGGUGAAAUGCGUAGAUAUCAGGAGGAACACCGGUGGUGUAGACGGCUUUCUGGACCAUAACUGACGCUGAGACACGAAAGCGUGGGUAGCAAACAGG